UAAUCAGGGCAGCAAUCCGAAUUUUCCUUCUCACAGAAUCUGUCACAGUAACACCAUGCGUUUGCCUCGUAGAACCGGGUGACACAGUCAUCAUUUCUGCCUUCACAGCAGCCAAACCUCCUACAGUACUGUCCUUGUGACUGAACCCAGGCUUCCCUGCAGUGGCCGCGGCUCUGCCAUUCCUGUCCCCGCAGCUCUAGGUCAUCCCUGUGCACACUGGCUUGACUUCCCAUCUGCACCGACCACCAGGAGCAUUUUGACUUCAAGGCUCAGAAGAGCCCUAUUCACCUAGAAGCUCCCCGAGGAUGACCUUAGUUCUCUCUACUGAGCACCUGCCCAGUGCCAGUGCGAACCGGCAGUCUGGAGGCGGACGACGGCCAAGAAAAGUCAGUUCUGCCCGCUAAGAGGUUUGGAGAAGGAGCUGGGAAGCAAAUGCAAAGUCGAGACACCUUCAGUAUUUCUGCAGAGCCUCCCUUGGCAGUGAGUUUUCCUCAGCUGUAUUUAUUUAUUAACCACAAUAACCCCCUGCGACAGGGGAUAAGCAACCAGCAGAUGAAUCAGCAACAGUGGCCAGGCGUCUCAGCAAUCGGAAUCACGGACACUGGUCCCUAAGUGCUAUUUAAUUGGCUCUAUGAACUUAUUUGGGAUCACCACUUAUUUCUUUGGUUUUCCUUAUUUUCUCUAAACGAAGAGUCUUUUCUAAGGUUAUUCAAAUCUCCACACUUUUCCCCUGACCUCGUCCCCAUUUCCUGCCCACUCAUACUUUGAUCCUGGCUAUGCCGCUUAUGGCGAGCACCUCCCUCGCAUGAUAUAACUUGUAAGUCUGUAUUUUUCAGUUCUGCAUCAUCUUUGUGUCACUUUGUGUCACAGCUCCCUUGUCUUUUCCGUCCAGGGACUAACACAUGCCUCUGUUCCCUGCCAUCUACUUUAUCACUGACCACUGCAAAACACUGCUUAUGUCCUCAGUUACCUUUACCAGUGACCUCCUAGCGUCCCGCCCAUGGACACGUGUCCAUCUUUGCAGUAUGAAAGUCUUCUGCAGCACCCUGAGAGGGUGAUCCGAAGUGUACUACAGGAGGCAUAAGAAGGGUGGGAAAGCAAGUCAGCUGUGGGAGGGGAGGUUCACUUCCUUGGUCAUGGUGAUUAUUCCACUAUGUAUAUGUUGAUUUAUGAAGUUGUACAUUUUAUGCACAUACUAUUUUUAUUCACCGAUUAUUGUCAGUGUAGCUGGGAAGAAAUGAUGGGAGCAGAAGAAUUACACUAGUGGAAUCCACAUCCUGCUUCUAACACUGACUGUGAGCAUGGCUCUUAAAAUAACUUGCCUACCUCAAUGCCUGAGUUUCUGCAUCUGUAAAAUUUGGAUGAAAGUAUCAAAUAAUUUAGAUAGCAUUAUAAACGAGAUGGGGGACUUAAUGAGAUCACACAAAAUACUUAGCAUAUCACAUGUGCUAAAUAAAGGUAAUCAUUUAAUCAUUAAGCUUAACCUUACCUAGAAAUUCGUUCUAUGAUUUUGUUCUCUUCUAAUUUUCUUGUCAUUUUUCAUAUAAGUGCACCAAAGUAUCUGCUCACUCUGGGACACCUUUCCUUCCCUUCCUAAUAAUAUAUGUAGGAUGUUUCCACCUUUCGCCUUGAGAACUGACAGCCUCCUCAGCCCCUGGGCAACUUCCCUCUAACUAGCUACAUAUCUAUCAUCUAUCUAUCGGACAAGAAAAAAUUGGGUAGACUUACAACUGUAUGAUGGAUUUUAAAACAUGUACACUGUAUAUAUUUUACAUCAUAGAAUAGCUAAAUCAAGCUACUUGAUAUGUGCAUUGCAUGUAUUUUUCAUUUCCUUUGUGAUUAGAAUACUUAAAAAUCUGCUCUCAGGACUUCUGAUGCAUCCAAUAUACUGUUAAUUAUAGCUACUGUGAAGCGAAAUGCAUCUUUGAGCUCCUCCUUCUCGUCUCACUGAGACUUUGUGUCCUGACCAACAUCUCCCCAGUUUCCCAGUCCAGCCCAGCCUCUGACAAUCACCAUUUUCACUCCGUUCUUUCAAAUUGUGCUUGUUCACAGUGCACACGUAAAUCAUACCACACAGGGCUUUUACUUCAGUGUCUACUUCACUUGAGAUAAUAUCCCCAGAUUCACUCGGGCUGACACAAAGGGAAAGAAUUCCUUCCUUUUAAUACUGCCUAGUAUCUCACUGUGUAGAUGGAACAUUUUCCUUCUCCGUUCAUGCGCUGAUGGCACAAUGGUUGAUUUCAUAACUCAGCUUUGUGAACAGUGCUGCGAUAAACCGAUGUCUUCAGUGCAAUGAGUGUAUAUCUUUUGAAUAUAUACCUGGAGCUAGGACAGACUGGUGAUAGAUAGAUAGAUAGAUAGAUAGAUAGAUAGAUAGAUAGAUAGAUAAUCCUAUAUCCCUUUCAGUAAGAUUCCUAGAUCACUUAGUAGCUAUGUCUUUAGUUUUUUGUGGAACCUCAAUAUUGUUUUCAAAAAUGACUAUUCUAAUUUACAUUCCCACCAACAACAUAAAAGUGUCAAAGUUUCCAUUUUAUCCAUAUUUUAAUCUAUAUUUGUUAAGUUUUGGUCAUAGACAUUCUUCCAGAGAUGAGGUAAUGUUUUUAACUUGAAUUGUCCUGAUGACUGGUAAUGUUGGACAUUGUUUUAUAUAUUUGUUGGCCAUUUGCAUGUUGUCUUUUGAGAAAAGUCUAUUGUGUUUUGCUCAAUUAUAAGUAGGAUUUUUUUUCUUCCUGUUGACUUAGCCCAGUUCCUUUUGUGUUUCUAUAUGAAUCCCUUACCAAAUAUAUGGUUUACUAAUGUUUUCUCCCA